rnacentral:tRNA from 1 species
UGUCCUCGCCUGGGCUCGAACCAGGGACCUUCUGCGUGUUAAGCAGAUGUGAUAACCACUACACAACGAGGAC